AAGCGAAACGCCCACCUACGGGUGGGCGUCGUCCGGCGGUGGUGCGCUGGGCCUGAUGAGCAGCCAAGU
rnacentral:hammerhead_ribozyme from 1 species